UUUUAAUUAAAACAUAGGUUUGCUUAAAAGCUGUAGAAUUUUCUGACUGGUAAGAACACCUUAUGGAGAAACAUCUUAAAUGUUUUGUUUUGUACAUAGAAUGACUCGGAAACAACAACAGAAACAGAAUUCAUAGACAAGUAACAGAACUAAGGGAGUAGAAAUGGCAAGAGAAUAACCAUGUCUGGGAAAAAAAUAAUUAAAAGGUUAUGGUUCUGGCUUAUCUGGACUUGCCCUUUGCCCAUAUUUAAGCCUUGACUUAAGUGAAAUAUUUACAUCUGUUUUGAGAAAGUUGUGG